rnacentral:misc_RNA from 1 species
UACGUAGGGUGCAAGCGUUGUCCGGAAUUAUUGGGCGUAAAGAGCUCGUAGGCGGCUUGUCACGUCUGCUGUGAAAACUCGGGGCUCAACCCCGAGCCUGCAGUGGAUACGGGCUAGCUAGAGUGCGGUAGGGGAGACUGGAAUUCCUGGUGUAGCGGUGGAAUGCGCAGAUAUCAGGAGGAACACCGGUGGCGAAGGCGGGUCUCUGGGCCGUAACUGACGCUGAGGAGCGAAAGCAUGGGGAGCGAACAGG